CAACAUUACUCAAACUUCUAGGAAGAUGUCAGCAAGUUUUCCAAUUUUUAGUUCUUUUAUUUUUGGACCACCAAUAUGGAUUUUAAUAUGAAAAAAAUUCGUAUUUUUGUAAAUUGGUAUUUUAAAAAAUAAAUAAAAAAUAAAUUAUGUAGUUGAUAAUGUAAUAUAUAUCAUAAUUUAUUUUUGAAUAUUUGAGAAUGUAUUGAUUUCCUGUAAUUUAUUGGUUUAUCAUUUAAUUUCUUAAAAAAGCCUUUUGUUUGGGCUCUCCCGUAUGCUCCUCUCUUUAGGAUUCUCUCUCGCUGUCAAGUAUCAUAUAUAGCAGUAAGAGAUAAAAUUCCUUUCCGCAGAAUUCUUUGGAAACCCUUGUCUUUCCAAAUUCUGAGCUGUACCCAUAACCCAGUAAGCGGAAACAAGAAGAUGCUGAAUUUAUUAAGUUUGCAAAGUUUGCAGUGUGUGUUAGACUUGGUGGUUGCUGGGAUCUCUUUGAUUUUUGGGCUGGGAAUUUUCGCCUUCAUUGCCUCCAUUCUUUGCUCUGCUGCCUUCUUACACAAUGCCAAGCACGCCUCUUGAUCCCACCCCACCGUCGAAUUCAAAGGGAACAGAAGAAAGUUCGAAAAUGCAGGUUGUUGGUUCCUCUGGAAUUUCUUUUUUCACUGUUGUGGAAGUGACAUUGAGCAGACUGUAUGCUGGACUAGCCUGUGUCCACCCAAAGAUUGGCAAUUUUGACCUGCAUUAGAGUUUUUUCCGCCUUUGGUUUUCUUUUUUCCUUUUUCUUGUUUUCUCCUUCAAUGUUCUUAUGAAUCUCUGAGUGCUUUAGUUCAAAGUGUGUAGAGGAACACAACCAAGCUAAGGAUCAUGGGGCAUCCAAGCUCGAUUUAGUUUUUUUUUUAUGUACUGUAAUUAGAUAACUAUAUUGUUCAAUUUAAUCAUUCAGCUCAACUUUUUACUCAGAAAGUUGAUAUACCUUUCUACUACACACGAAUUAUUGUGAAUAAAAUGGAUUAAAGUCCCGUUUUCUUA